CCUACGGGAGGCAGCAGUGGGGGAUAUUGCACAAUGGGGGAAACCCUGAUGCAGCGACGCCGCGUGAGUGAAGAAGUAUUUCGGUAUGUAAAGCUCUAUCAGCAGGGAAGAAAAUGACGGUACCUGAUGAAGAAGCCCCGGCUAACUCCGUGCCAGCAGCCGCGGUAAUACGGAGGGGGCAAGCGUUAUCCGGAUUUACUGGGUGUAAAGGGAGCGUAGACGGCAGCACAAGUCUGGAGUGAAAUGCCGGGGCUUAACCCCGGAACUGCUUUGGAAACUGUGCAGCUAGAGUGCAGGCGAGGUAAGUGGAAUUCCUAGUGUAGCGGUGAAAUGCGUAGAUAUUAGGAGGAACACCAGUGGCGAAGGCGGCUUACUGGACUGUAACUGACGUUGAGGCUCGAAAGCGUGGGGAGCAAACAGGAUUAGAUACCCCUGUAGUC
rnacentral:rRNA from 1 species